UAUAUUUUGGUGUAGGAUGCACGGAAAUUUUUGAUGUUUCAUGAGCAGUUUAACUCUGCAAAAUAUAA
rnacentral:tRNA from 1 species